AUGAAGAACUACAUUCCAGCUAUACACGUGGAUGGGCAAGUCAUUACAGAUCAAGCCGGCAAGGCGGAGGCUUUCCUUAAUGCGUAUAACGCACUCCUAGGCAGGGACAAGGCACGGGAGCAUACUCUGGACUUAGAAUCUCUAUGUAUCAUUGCGGUGGACUUAUCUGAGCGGGAUCUAGUCUUCUCAGAGGAGGAAAUAUGGGCGGUAAUCAAAGAGAUGCCUUCAGAUAAGGCACCGGGUCCGGACGGCUUCAUUGGACUGUUUUUUCAAAAAGCUUGGGAGAUUGUCAAGGGAGAUCUGACUACGGCUCUACAUAAGCUGUUCAUUGGCAAUGGGGCUGGGUUUGGGAGGCUAAACCAAGCGCUCGUAACCCUAAUUCCAAAGUCACUGGAGGCAUGUAGCAUUAACGACUUCCGGCCGAUCAGUCUGGUUCACAGUAUGCCAAAGCUUGCUUCCAAGCUUAUGGCGAUAAGAUUGAGACCGAGGAUGGGAGAGCUAGUGCAUAUUAACCAGUUGGCUUUUAUUAAGGGCAGAAACAUACAUGAUAACUUUUUGCUGGUACGACAAAUGGCAUGUAGGCUGCACAAGAGGAAGGCCAAGGGUGUGCUGCUCAAGCUGGACAUAUCGAGGGCGUUCGACUCACUCUCAUGGCCUUUUCUUUUUGAGGUGUUGCGAGCAAAAUGGUUCUCGGAGUGA
rnacentral:rRNA from 1 species